UACGUAGGGGGCUAGCGUUGUCCGGAAUCAUUGGGCGUAAAGAGCGUGUAGGCGGCCCGGUAAGUCCACUGUGAAAGUCGGGGGCUCAACCCUCGAAUGCCGGUGGAUACUGUCGGGCUAGAGUGCGGAAGAGGCGAGUGGAAUUCCUGGUGUAGCGGUGAAAUGCGCAGAUAUCAGGAGGAACACCGAUUGCGAAGGCAGCUCGCUGGGACGUCACUGACGCUGAGACGCGAAAGCGUGGGGAGCAAACAGG
rnacentral:rRNA from 1 species